GCCGGAGUGGCGAAAUUGGUAGACGCGCCGGACUCAAAAUCCGGUGUUAGAGAUAACGUGUCGGUUCAAGUCCGACCUCCGGUACCA
rnacentral:tRNA from 1 species